GUCAUAGGAUGCAGGAAAUGGAAAAAGAAAACGGAUGUAGAAGAAGAAAGAACAACUUGUUUCCCAGAGGGCCGCAGUCGCAUCAGACCCAAUUUCCAAGACCGGAGACCACUUCGGAACGAAAAUGGUCCGAUCCCACCAUCACCACCAUAAUCCAACGGCAGGGAUUACGAGUAAGAAACAAAAAAACGUAAAAUCAGACGGAAAGAAAUCAAUCGGAAGUGACGGGAGUGUGACAUCAACACUCUCACCCAAAUCCAAUCACAACCCUGCAGAGUACAUACUCAACAGAGAGAGAGAGAGAGUAAGUACUGAUUUCUUCAUCACCAUCAUCCUCUUUUGCUCUUGUUCUUCUUCUCUGCACUCGUGCAACGUUUAAACCUUAUUCAUUCUUUUUCUUUCCUUUCCUGGUUAAUCUUUUGGAGCCAUUAUUGACAGUGGUUUUUUUUUUUUUUUAUCAGAACCUUAUUGACGGUGGUUGAAAGUUAAGGUCUUCACUGUUAGAUUUGUUUCAGAUAUAGAGAGGACACCUGGAACGUGUCACCGACACCUGUACGUCUUGCAUGAGAGAGAGAGGGCCUCUGCGAGGGUAGAGAGAGAGAGAGAGAGAGAGAGAGAGGUUCUUUACUUUCUAGUGGCUACGGUCCCAAUAAAAACCCUAAAUCUGUCAUUAAAGCUCUUUCAUUCUUAUAGUUAAAGGAGGGUGAUUUGUAGAUUUUUGGUAACUUUCCUUAAAUGGGUCUCACUGUAUUCUCAGAUCUGACUCCAUUGUUUUGCACAUUUUAUGCUUCUUUUUCCUUUCUUUUUCUAUUUUUCCAUUCUGGGUAACUUGUCUUUACAUUCUUUACUUUGAUACUUAUCUCCUCUCAUCUUCUGGGACAUAGAAAUUGACAGAAGAGAGUGAGCACACAGAGGCAUUUGUAUAAAUCUAUACCCUUGCUUUUGCGUGCUUACUUCUCCUUCUGUCAGCUUCCAGAGCCGGAAUUGGAUCUUUCUCGGGUCACCCGAAUUCCUGGUCUGUUUUUGUUCCAGAUUGAUACCUCUUCCUUAUUUUCUUUUUCUUUAUCUGCUUUCAAAGUUUUUUUUUUUCCCUUUCUCUUUCAAAGAGGAAGAUGAUGAGAUGACGGUUGAGCAAACAGAGAAAAAUAAUGCCAAGUGCCAAUCAUUAAUUAAUACCAGAAACGGCUAUCAGAUAUGUAUUUGUCUUGGUUUUAAUUUAUUUAAGUUUAUGCUUUAAUUAAAUUAUAUAUUUAAUAGCUUGAAAAGCGUGGCUUUUGAUGGUGUUUAGCUUAAGAGGGUAGGCGUGAUUACUGUGCAGAUUUAGCGGCAAAACAGUGUAUUAACAUGGGGAAAUUCACGUUAUCUAAGUUGUAGCAUGGUCCUCACUUGCAAAACUUGCUCUCCAUUAUCAUCUCUCUGCAUUUCAAUUCACUUUUUUAUUCAUUCGCAUGGUAGAAAAAUGGAUUUUCCCUUUUGUGGGUUCGAAAACCCUAUCCUACCUAGAAUAGGGUUGCUUUGCUUGUGUUGCUAGUGCACACAAGGGAUAUCUUGGCGCUUCUUUUUGCUCUGAUUUUUUGACAUUAUCUGGUAACUUUCACACUCUCUCAGUUGGGUUCUGAAAAGGUUCUAUUUCUUUUCUUGAUUAUCUGCAUUGUUUGCUUCAUAGCACUUGUUUCUCUUAGCCAAUGUAUGUGUGUGGGUGUGUGUGGAUGAUUGAUCCGAUCAGGCAAAAUAAUGAAUGCUUCUUUCCUCAUGGGAAGUUUGCUGCAAAUUUUUCUUUUCUCUUUUGCUUCUGUGUUCUGAGUUUUUGCAGAUUGGUGUUCGAUUAAGUAAAUGUUUACUCAUUUGUCAUGGGUGAAUGAUGUCCCAGAAGAAAUCUAAUCGAGCAGGUCAGAAAGUACUUAAGAACACAUCUUUUGUUUUGCAUUUAUACAUAACAUUUUCUUCUAAUUUAUUUAUUUCAUGAAUUCCCUUUCUUUUUCUAUCUUCGUUUAUUGGAAUAAUUAUUUUAUCAUUGGUCUCUACCGAGGACUUUAAUCCUUUAUUAACCUGUUAAAUCAUCUCAUUUUGUGAAUAUCGAGUCUGAUAGCAACUUAUAUUUCAUACGGAUGGCAUAUUAAGCAAAUAAUCUAACUAAAAAUUAUGAUAAAACUUAAGUUGUUUUUCAAGAAAUUACAUGCAAUUAAAAUUUCUUAGAUUAUAGCAUCAUCAAUUGCUUCGUCAUCUAAUUUGGUCAUUGUACUUGUUUUGAGCAGCAAGUGGAUUGCUUUGACAAUACUUCUUCAUAUGAAAUUGUGACUAAUAUAGCAUCAUCAGAAGUUCAUUAUUGCUCUAUAGUAUUUAUAUUACGCAUUUAUGCAGAUGAAAAACUAUAGUUUUGUUAUAAUUGAAUUGCAGAUGUUGAAUAUCCAUCCAGGAUCCUUAAAUGGUUUAGGGUGUGUUUGGUAUUUUUAUUGUAACUGCUGUCGAGAAAAAUACCCCAUAAAUACUUUACGAGCUAUUAAAAAUUGAUUUAAAGUUAAAUAUGCACAUAGAAAGCAAAUAUUUCAGUCCAUGGGGUUUACAGCAACCCAUUAUUUAGCAAGAGAGACAAGGGACGAAGCAUACAUUAUCAACUUGCUUCAAGAAUCAAGAUGCACUUGUUUUCUCCUUCAAAGGAGAUAUUGAUAGCCAUUGAACACCUUAUGAUUGAUAGCCAUGGUACACCCUAAUGGAUAAAAUACUUCGUUCAAAUCAAUGUUUUUGGGGUUGGCUAAGUGGAUCUCCAAACUCAUGGAUAAGUGUAUUAUCAAGUACAUACUAGUUGAUUGAUUAUAAUUGAUAACCUCAGUACACCAUACCCAACCUUAAUAAGCUUUGAUCAUACUCCUCCCUUUGAAGUUGUGAUUUAUAUAACAUUAUCAAAAAGUAUUUCUUUAGCAUUCUAUUGCUUUGUCUAUAUGGAAUAAUUAUUAUGCAUUAUCUUGUUUGGAAUCAAUGACAAGACUAUAUAUAUUAUGAUCUUUCUUGCUCAAUAAUAUUUAUUUUAUUAAGACAAAAACCUAUAGUUUUUCUAUAAUUGCGUUGCAAGUGUAAAUUAUUCAGGCGAGAUCCUCAAAUUGUUUGGAAGGCAAAGGUGUAAAAACAUGGGGAUUACAUUAACCCAUUGCUUUACAAGGACAAGGUACGCAUACAUUUUUUAUUUGCUUUAAUAAUCAAGAUGCACUUGUUUUCUUGUUCUUUAAAGGUGAUAUUUAUACCCCAUGUUUCUAGUAGUUCAGCCACCACUUAAAUUUUAAAUUAUGCACUAGUUUUUGUGAAAUAAGAUCUUUUUUUCUUUUUCUUUCUUGUUUUGUUUCUGUCAUUACAAUUUGUUUGUUGCAUAAUUUCUGCUUCUAAGUGAGAAAUGAUAAAAUUGUGAAGUGCAAAAGGCUGAUAUCACAUGUUCACGAAUUUGGUAUUAUUAUUAUUGGCCGACAAGCACAAAAUUUUCCUAAAGAGGACCCAAAUCUUUUGGAAAUAAAGCAAAUUGAGGUGGUUGGUACAUGUACUGGGGAUUUCAACACUCUUAUUAUAUGUGAAUAUUGUGAAUAUUACUUUCUUUGUUUAUUUCUCCCUGUAUUUAUUCAAUGCAUGGGUACUUAUUGCAUAACUAUGUUAAUUAGACAAAAUACUGAAAAUAUAUCAUUAUUAGAUGCAAAAGUUGUUCAUAUAAUGUUCUAAAGGAUUCGAGAUGUAACAAAUAUCAAAUCAACCCUAUUAUAAUUCUUUUAUAGGAAUGUAUUUAUGAAAUUUAUAUAGGCAUAGGUUUGAAAUAUAAGCCCCACUAUUGGCACUCCAUUUCUAUUUCCUUUCCUAUUGAGGUUUCCUUAGGGGAGGAUAGAAAAUGAUUAAGGCAGCUUGAAUUUAAAAUAUAUAUUUUAUUGUUAUUUUUAUUGCUAUUACUAAAGCUUUUUUUUUCCCCCCUUGUGUCUCUACCAAAGAUUAAUGAAAAACAGGAAGUUUGUGUAAAGGCACUCCUAUGGAAGUGGAAAAAUGAGGGCAGAAUGUGUUCAUUAUUAUAAUUUCUUAGAACUACAAAGUUUACAAUUAUUGUUUCUAAUUGGUUGGAACUAGAUUUCUAAAUUCAAGCUUUCUAUUCCUUAUUUUUUAUGUCAAUAAGUAAUUCUUGCUCUUUUAAUUUUGUACUAAUACCUAUGCUAUCAAAAUAUGACAAGUCCACUUUAGGUGGCUUUUUUGUGUGUUUAUAAAUUGAUUGGAAUUAAGAAUGAAACAAAUCCAUAAAUAUCAAAAAAAAAAAAGAAUGAAACAAAUCCAAUUCAUGUAAAUAUUUUAUUUACAAUUUAGAAGAAUUAUAAUCCUAAUAUAAGGGAGUUUCUAACAUUAACUUCUUUUUUUUUACAAAUUAAAAAUUUAUUUUGUCAAUAACUACCAUUAGAUGGUGAAAAUAACAAUAUAGAAACAAAGUAAUCAUAGAAGAUAGAAAAUAAUAUUGGGUUGUUUACAGUUUAAAAGAAUUACAAAGCUAAUAUAGGCUACAAAUUAAGAAGGAAAUUAAUAUGACAAGUUAUCAUUAUAAAGUAUGUCAAAAUUGCACUUUGUUAAUAUACUCCUAAAGAAGAGUUAUAAUACUAAUAUAGGAUAAUAUUGGAUUAUUUAUAUUUUAAAUUAGUUAUAAAGCAAAUUUAGGCUACAAACUAAAGCAAAUUUAGGCUACAAACUAAGGACAUUAAUUUGACAAGUUAUCACAUAAAGUAUGUCAAAACUACACCUUGUUAAUAUAUUCCUAAUGAAAAAACUUUUAGGAGAAGAUAUAAAGUAAAAUCAAUGUCACCAUAUUGGUUAUACAAGUUAUACUUGACUUUCUAUCAAAUUGGAUUGGGUUCGUUUAGGCCUAAAAGGUGAAUCCGGAAUACAAGCUUGAUAUCCUUUAGAGUUAAGUUGAGCCUUAAGGAAAGGAAAAAAAAAAGUUUAACCCACCUUGGAAGCAAGUCUUAAUUGUGUUGGGUUGGGUCGAGUCAAGUCAGUGGAUAAAAUCCUUUGUUCAAGUUAAUAUUUUCAAGUUGAGUUGGUGGCUCUACAAACCCAUGUGUGAGUCUACUAUCAACUACAUGGUAGUUAAUAAAUUGAUAGCCAUGGAACACCUUAUGUUUGUUAAUCAUGUUGCACCAUACCCAACCGUACUCAAUAAAUCGCAAGUUCAAUCCACCUUGCAAGCAAGGCUUAACUGAGUUGGUUCAUGUUAAGCCAAUGGAUAAAAUUCUUUGUUCAAGUCAAUAUUUUUUGGGUUAGGUCGGUGGAUCUGCGAACCCGAUUGAAGAUAAGUUUGCUAUCAACUACAUAGUAGUUGAUUAAUUGAUGGAAAUGGCUAAUCGCAGUACACCAUUUGUAAUAGAAAAGUCCAAUCUAAAGUUAAUGGGGAGAACCCUUUUUGUGCAAGUAACAUUAGAAGGGUGAAGCUAUGUGUUGAUAGAAACUCAUGCUUGCCAUAUUCUUCAGAGAAUUGGUUUCAAAGAACAACUAGAGGGAAAAGUAAAAAUACUACAUUUUACUAUAAUGUAGUCUUGGGGUAAAACUAUUAAUAAAAGAUUGUGGUAUUUUCCUUAUAAUUUCAUUUUCUUCCUCUAUUAUGUUUGGUUAGAAUUAUUGACCCAAUGGAAAUCUAAUAUACAAUUUCUACGAUAAUUCAUUUGUAUUGUGUUUGUAGCGUAGUGUGUUGCCUAUGCAUUUUUCAAGUGAAAUUAUAAAGAUUUGAAAGAUUUAUGACACAUCAUUGUCUAAGAAAAUGAAAAGUUUUGUUUAAUUACUUAUUUAACCUUAUGCUAUGCAUCAUUUAUUUGAGGUUAUAAUAGUUAGGAGUGUGCAAAUAGUAAAUUUAGUUACGACCCUAACCAAACUAAAAUGAAUUUUGUGAGAAAUCAAAUCGAAUCAAACAAGAAAGACCAAAUGAACUAAAACAAAAUAAAUCAGUUCGAUAGAUUGGUUCUUCUAAUAAUCUGCAAGAUCCCAUUUUUAGUUCUAGAGGAUCAAAAUUCAUAAGUUAAUAUUGUAUCACCCUUUCAACGUUCAAAUUAAUUUUCAACAAUCAAACUUCGAACAAAUCCAAAAUUUUCAACAAUCAACUAUACCUAGAUUUUUUUUUUCCAAACAAAUUAGAAAAUUUCAAUGAUAAAAAACCUUAAUUUUUGCCAAACAAACCAACCCAAAAUUUCUCAUUUUCAUGGCUAAAUCCUAGAAAAUGGAAGAUCUCUAGAUAGAAACUUUCUUUAUCUCCUCCAUUGACUACUAAGGUGACUCGUCUAGGAGGCUAUUACUAGAAUUGCUUUCACCAUUAUGAAUGGAAGUGAUAAGGAAGAUGGGGUAAAUUUUACACGUUGUCCCUCAAUUUAGGGUGUUGUAAUACCAUAGUCUUUGAACUUCAAUUUGGAAAAUAAAAACCCUCAAUAUUAAUUUAGUGAACAAAAAAGUCCUUUUGACAUAAAAUAACUAGUUUUCUAGUUACGUGUCACUUUCACUGUGGUACCAAGUCAUCUGUCUCAUUUCACCUCUCCUCCGUAUGGCAUUUGUUAAGAAAAAUCUCUUUUUCUCUCUCCAUUUGAAAAAGACUUAAAUGCCCUCAAAUAAAAUCCAAGUCAUCUUCCCUAUUGCCCCAUCUAUCCUCUCUUUCACAUCCUCUCUUUCACUCGGUCUCUCUCUGACCCCCCCGCUACCCUCUUUUCUUUUCUUCUCUCUUCAAAACACAGAGCAUCAACAAAUGGUUGCAACCUUCCAUACAUGAUUCCCCGUUUCCUUUUCUCUUCUGUCUUUUGCUAGGUCUCGUUUUGAUUGCUACCUUACCCUCUACUAUGUUAUUCUCUCUUCAAAACACAGACCAUCAUCCUCAACUAAUUCAACUGAAACAAAAUCAUCAUAACACGCUUAACUUCUUUCAUUUUUAACUUCUCUUUAUUUUUUUACCAAAGGCUCAACUUGAGCUUCCUAUAUAACCACAUAGGGAUCAUCCUUGGUCAACUCAACCAAAGCAGAGCCAUUAGGAGAACCCUUUCUUACAAAUUUCCCAUCUUCCUUACUUGGAACACCAUGGUUUGUUACUCUAACAGAAUUUCUUGAAACCAAGCCCUCAUUAUCUCCAAUUGGUAGCAACUCAAUCUUGCUCACAACAAUAUACAUUUUGUUGUGUAUAUUGCUAUGAAGGUGAUGAUUGGCUAAAAAGAGAAAAUAAGGAGCUUGUGAAGGAAAGAAUGAGCUUGGACGCUUUUGGGGGGUUUUCUCUUCAAAUAUGUGUUGGUUCAUUUUUCUCUUUAGAUUUGUGUUGUUGAGGAUGUUUUAUGUUACAAAUUGAAGUUCAAGGACUGUGUUGAUAUAACACCUUAAGUUGAAGGAUAAUGUGCGAAAUUACCCAAAUGACGGCGAUGUCGAAACUCCAAUGUGCCGUGAGGCUUGAGGAGGAGCAAGAAGAAUUGGAGGAUGGUAGUGUCAAUGGAUUUUGAGACUUAGAUUUUGGAAUCAAUUGAAGAAGGUUAAGGAUUGAAUGUUGAAACAAAUAUUAGAACGAGAAAGGAGGGUGUUAGUUUGUGGGCAUUGGGUCGUGGCAUGAUAGGCAGGCAGGCAUCUCUAUUUGUUUCAACCAGAGUGGAAAGACAAAGAUAACUAGUUCCUAAGGUUUUUAAUAUGCAGACAUAGUGACAUCAUUUGAGCAUUAUAUAGGUUCAAUUCUAUUAUUUUGGUUUUUUGACCUAAAUAAUGGAACCAAAGUGAAUAAUUGGAUUUUCCUAAACUAACUGAAUUGAGCAGUUUAGGCUGAAAAACUGAAUUAGAACGGUUUAGUUCAAUUUUUUUGUUAAAACAAUUUAAUGUUCAGCCCUAAUAAUAAUAGCAACCUAUCUAAUCUAUGCAAUUUUUCUUUUUUUUUUUUGGAGACCUAAAAAGCGUUAUGGAUACACAAUUACUCAAAUUUCAAAUUUUUGCAUGUAACAAAUGGCAUUUUGAGAGUGACUAUUUUAUUAUUGAAAACAAUUAUGCAACUAAAAUUAAGCACUAGAUACUUGAAUGGAUGAAAAUUGAAUUGGAUGUAAACCAGAUCAAGUGAUUUUGGCUUAUCUAAUUGUUUUAGAGAAAAAAACACCUAAUAAGAUCAAAUGAAGAAGAGGAAUUCAGUUUGGAGACAUUUCUCUUUAGGUUUGGAUUGCUGGUGUGUGAUUAUUGCUUUCAUAAAGAGAGAAGGGGGUGGGUUGUGGUAGUGGCUUAACACAAUUAGGAAUAACGUAUAAGAGUAAAAGGCCAAGUGGAAGUGUAAUAAGAAUUCGUAAUAUAUUUGGCGAAGGCAAAACUAGGAUUCGUUAUUGGCAUAAUGAACUAUGGGAAGAAGGAUAACAUUGAUCUAAUUAAUACUUUUGAAGAACAUAAUAUGAACUGUGCUCUUUAAUUUUCUUUGAAAUAAAAGUGAUAAUUAAUUCCUUUUUUAUUUUUGCAUUGAUUAAAUGGCUAGAAUGUACUUUGAUGUUUGAACAUAUGAGUAUGAGCAAUUAGAUACUUUGGGAGAAAACUUUUAAUGCCUUCACUGGUAGCAUUAUUGCAGGUAGAAACUAUGAAAUCCAUUAUGAGUCUCAUGUUUUCUCUGUCAGUUUCAUUUCAGCUUGAAACAAUGACAAUAUACUAGUUUUUUUUCUUUUUCUUUUCUAAAUUUAAGGGAGGUGGAGAGAGAAGCAGGUUUCAAUUCCAUGAUUACCUGAACAAAACAAGCACUUACUGGUUAUGAUUCAGGAACUUAUUCCUAUAACAAUAUAUCACGCAAUCCAGAGGGGUUUGAUGUCA